rnacentral:misc_RNA from 1 species
AAUAAUGAGACCUUUGAACG